rnacentral:rRNA from 1 species
GACGAACGCUGGCGGCGUGCUUAACACAUGCAAGUCGAACGGUGAAGCGCCUUCCUUUUUGGUGGGUGUGGAUGAGUGGCGAACGGGUGAGUAACACGUAAGUAACCUGCCCCCUUCUUCUGGAUAACCGCAUGAAAGCUUGGCUAAUACGGGAUAUUCUGGGUCUGUCUCAUGAUGGGUCUGGGUAAGCUAUUGUUUCUGUGGGGGAUGGGCUCGCGGCCUAUCUGCUUGUUGGUGGGGUGAUGGCCUACCAAGGCGGUGACGGGUGGACGGCCUGGGAGGGUAGCCGGUCAGACUGGGAGUGAGACACGGCCGAGACUCCGACGCGAGGCAGCAGUGGAGGAUAGGGCGCAGUGGGGGCAAGCCUGAUGCAGCGAGGACGCGUGAGGGAUGGAGGCGUUCGGGUUGUGAACCUCUUUCGGUAGUGAAGCGGGCCUGCCUGGUUUGUAGGUGGGUUGACGGUAGCGGGAAAAGAAGCCCCGGCUAACUUCGUG